rnacentral:lncRNA from 1 species
AAACAGAGAGCAAUGUUAUCACAAUGAGUAUUAACUGAAACCCCAAACACACAACGAGCACCAUAUUCAUAAAAAUGGCAUUAACAUAGCCUUAUGAUCACAAAAGCAGCUAAAAUCUACCAGUCUAUAAGCUUUUUUAUCAAUCUUUUGUAGGGAAUCAGAAAUUCAAUCCUAGUUCUUACUUAGACUACAUGUUAACAUAACAUUUGUUAACAAAUAACCAACACCUUUCAAACUGUGAUCCUUGCGAUGAGGUUCAAUAAUGUUAACAUGUCCUAAUUUACGAUAAUUGAACAUCUGAGUGAUUUAAUUGAACAUCUGAGUGAUUGAAUAACCACAAGAACAAAUACGGAGCCAGUUUAUGUUGUGAAUCAAUCGUAAAUUUAAACAAAUUGCAAGUAAGCAGAAGCAUAGCAUAUGAGCAAUCGGAUGAUAUCAAGUGUAUUAUCGCAACAAAAAAGAAACAUUUAAUGGAGAUUGAAGAGCAUGGAUAUGAAAAGUAACCAGGUACGAGAACCAGGGCCGUAUGUUUUGGGAUGGGAGUUCCAGACGUUCGAAUGACCCAUUGUUGGUGUAUGGAGGCGACGAGCUCUGAAAGUCGAUGAACUCAAAACCCUAGAUUUUGC